GUCCGCACGCCCCGCGCCACGACCCGGCGAGCAGGCGGAGCAGAGCACCGGAGCUUCCACCCGGCCGGUCGCGGUGGGCGCCGCGGAGUGGCCUGGCCUCCGGCGGCCGUGAGGGCCCGUGUUGCACCGCAAGAUGCGGCUCCUCGGCCCACAGCCCGGCCCGCUGCCCUCCGCGGCCUCCCUAGCUGGGUCUCCUCAUCCCGAGCGGUGGGCCGCUGUCAGGAGGUCGUGAGGAGCCGCUCAGUGAACCUAUGUCCGACCCUGGUGACAGCCCUCGGCUCUCAUGAAUUGCUAGAGCCUUCUCUGGAGAAAAGCCCAACCUAGACCUCAAGAUGCUGACAAUUUGAUAAAGAAGAAGGCUGGACAUUUUGUUUUGUAAUACUUCUUUUCACUGAAGAAGUGGCGAUCCCAUUUGAUUUCCAUGUACUAAAUCCCUGUACAAAUCAAUACCACAAAUGCUCAUUGGGCAUCUUUUAUAUGCCUGCAACUCUCCCAGGCACCUGUGGUGGAGACCAUCAAAGAAGAGUAAACAGACUAUGUUAAGUAGA